CAGUAUAUCUCUAUUGAUAAAAGGUUCCUUCAAAUUUAAAUGUUAUUUAUAUGCAUGAUUUCUCGUUUCAAUUUUAUGCUUGUUAUAUUGCAAGUAAUGCAAAGAACACAGUAGAGGAGGACGAGUUAACUCGUCAUUGGAAUUCCUAACCUCUAGGGUAUAAUUAUUUCUUUGUUUAUCAAUCUCUUACUUUCAAUUGUACCGUUUCAUUCUUAUUGCAAGUAAUUUGUGUAGGUAAUAUUUACAUUUGCAAGAACCAACAUUCACCUAACUGAAAUUAAUUUGCCUUUGUCAAGUCUAUUCAAGUCUAUGAUUAUAGAAGUUUGCAGUUAAGUUUCAGCGCUAGAAUUCUCUGGCCUCGUUAAUAAACUGACUCGUCGACAGACCAGGUAGCUCGUAGUUUCGCAUCUCGGGCAUCUUACGACUUUCGAGGUCGAAAAUUUCAAAGGAACGGUCAAUCAACUUCCGUCUCUGGUUCUCGAAGAUCGCUUCACAAUUGAAACGUCACGAAAACGAAUGGCUACACGUCAGUUUGGAUGGAAAAGCCAUUAACGAACAUGAUCCUCGAAAAGCAACUUAACGCUGAAGGGGUUCUCGAACCCUUAUUAUCGCUACGACUAAUUUUUCUUGACUCCUACGAAAAAUUCACUUCACUGUCCCACGAGAACGACCUUUGACUCGAUGGAACUCAAAUUUUUCCAGAUUUAUCCCACCAUCUUCGUAUCUUUCCGCAUCUUCAAACAAAGCUACCAUCCAAUAUCCCCACUUCGAAUCUCGUGCAAACAAAAAUCCUUCCUCGAUUUCCAUCAGACAUGUCGGUUGUUUGAAUUGUCAAGCAAUCGUCUAGCCAUAACCUAGAAAAGGUAAACAGUGGAAGACGAAGAGGGAAAGGGAUUGCGACAUCCGAUGCUAGGGCUACGUGUCGAGACAGUGGAUGGACAGGACGAGAUCCGUUGCACAGGACACCCAAUUGAAACGUCCCGGAACGAAGGAUGGAUGGCUGUCACUAGCGUGAGGGAGGUCUGACCGUGCGAGCACGGUUGCCAUUUUGAAUUCCCCUCGAUUGCUGGGCCGAGUUUGAGGGAUCGUAGGCGGAGAUGAAGCUUUUACACCGUGCAACGAAGACGGGAGAUGGAAGGCUGGUCGGGAUGGAUGCCGUUCAGAAGACGACCAGGUACCCAGGCCUGAUACCUCGUACAAGGAUACACCUUAUUCCGAGCAGAGGAUAAACGCGGAGGACUGUAUCGACCGGAUGGCAAGAUAGUUGGAAGCUGAAAGAGAAGCAAACGGGAUGGUAAAAAGCAAAACGAUCCAUGAACCGGGCAACAAGACGGUGGCGGACAGGACUAGGGGCGAAGACGCUAGAACGAGGCAUUUGUCGCGAGUAGAGCAAACACUCGCAACUCCAUCAACGUCGCCGAAGUUUCUUUCGGGUGUUGCCUCGGCUACGGUUGUAUUCAACGGCACGGAGCGUCGGUGUUCUAUCGCUUUUCGGUUUUUGCCUGUCACCCCUGCCCCUCGUAAGCGCCGCGACCGUGCGCUAGCAAACCACUCGUGGCUGCCCCCUCUGGCUGAGAAAUGCCGCUACUUUUAUUUUGCCGGUUCCCUACGUUAGCGAUUUUUCCAUCACCGCGGCGAGAUAUUUCACCGGCAAUCUAAGAGUCGCAAAUGGAGUCCACAAUGAGGCAGAAAUGGCUUGGCGCACUGAUGGCCCCGGCAUUUGUCUUCCCUCUGUUCCUUCCUCCUUUCCUCGUCCUCCUUCCUUUCCCUAGCUCCAGCACGCGUCUCUUCUCACCCCUCUCUUUGCAACCUACGGUCAGAUGACCAGCGCCUUAUUCACGCUGCAAUUGUUUUCCUUUAAUCUUGCCUCGUUUCUUUUUUAAUCGAACCAUAGGCAAACGUAUCCGUCCGUUGAUUACAUUGGUGUACACCGUGUGCGAAGAGUUUGCAGGAUAGAAGAGGAUCCGAAGCUUGAGACGAGCAUCCUGCCCCAAUUAAAAUAUCCUGAUCACCAAAGAGCAGAGGAAAAAAUAAAAGGCACGAGACUCUUCAUCUUUUCCAGUUUAACCGACCAUCAGCUCAAGUGAACACGCUUAUUAACGACAUCAUUGCGGCCAGCUGCUGGUACAGGGCUAUCUUUAUGCAAAGAGCGCGUAAGCGUCGAGGAAAAGGGCAGAGGAUCGUGGAACGCGGUCGUGCGAGUCAGCGCAGCCAUCUCGAGGGCGCCACCGUCCCCGCCAUCUUCUCCGCGCCGGGCAAUAGCCGCGCAAUUAUAAGUCCAUCAACGGCGAACGAAGCUCCGCGUUUUUCUGACGCCAGCCGCGAGUGCUGAAGAGAAGGAAGAACGAGCGCGCAAGCAAGAGGACGCUUUCUACGGUGCUCGGAUCGUGUGCGUGGCGCGUACAGCGCUUUGCUCGAAAGAGGCAGAGACCGGUAACGCGGGCAUUUCGUGCAUCAAAGUCGGUCUGAUGCGAUUUUAAUCGCGGCUACCCCUCCCGCUUUUUCUCCGCCCGCCGCCAAAGGCCUCGACUCUCGGCCGGACCAACCCCUAGCCACCCGGUCCCGUGUAAAACCGAUUAAUUUCAUUCCUCUGCCCCUCGAUAUCGAAGGAAUCUAGCCGCCGGCUGACGACAACCGGCUCCGCGUAAUACGUGCCUUCUUGCCAUUGUCGCCCUUUCCAAUCUAGUCCCCCUAUAUAUUAGCAAUUAACCGUUGCAACGAUCGAAUUUCAGAUCACGAGUGAAGGAUUUCUCCGAAUGCAGACUUUUAACGUCUAAAAUACCGGUAACUCGAUAUAGCGCGAGAUGGAUCGAAUGACCGAUAAGAUAAGCUAAGAAUAUUGUUCCUUAUCAGUAGGCGAGAGAAUGUAAUUAUUGAAGUUUAACGUAGCGUGUUAUAAGUGGACCGUUUAAAUGGAUAUCAGAUACCAAUCGUCCGAGAAAUUGUUAGCUAUGAAUAAAGAUAAGAAUGCUUUAAAGUUUUACAUUUUAAAUAACUUUUUAAUAAACCAUUUUCUUAUUACUUUUAUAACAAUUCAACAGUUUUAUUAUUAGAGAAUAUCUUUUCAAAUAACUACGACGAUCCUUCGCAAGUAGUCAAAUAAGCGACACCCGAAUGUGGGUUACGCGGCCCGACCAGAAACUUUCCUGACACCCGAA